UCCAGACUCCUACGGGAGGCAGCAGUGGGGAAUAUUGGUCAAUGGGCUUACGCCUGAACCAGCCAAGUCGCGUGAGGGAAGACUGCCCUAUGGGUUGUAAACCUCUUUUGUCAGGGAGCAACGCCGGCUACGUGUAGCCGGACUGAGAGUGCCUGAAGAAAAAGCAUCGGCUAACUCCGUGCCAGCAGCCGCGGUAAUACGGAGGAUGCGAGCGUUAUCCGGAUUUAUUGGGUUUAAAGGGUGCGCAGGCGGCGAGUUAAGUCAGCGGUAAAAUUUCGGGGCUCAACCCCGACAAGCCGUUGAAACUGGCUUGCUAGAGUGGGCGAGAAGUAUGCGGAAUGCGUGGUGUAGCGGUGAAAUGCAUAGAUAUCACGCAGAACUCCGAUUGCGAAGGCAGCAUACCGGCGCCCAACUGACGCUCAGGCACGAAAGCGUGGGUAUCGAACAGGAUUAGAUACCCCAGUAC
rnacentral:rRNA from 1 species